rnacentral:rRNA from 1 species
GGAGAAAAGCAGGGGAUCGCAAGACCUUGCGCUUUUGGAGCGGCCGAUGUCUGAUUAGCUAGUUGGUGGGGUAAAGGCUUACCAAGGCAACGAUCAGUAGUUGGUCUGAGAGGACGACCAGCCACACUGGGACUGAGACACGGCCCAGACUCCUACGGGAGGCAGCAGUGGGGAAUUUUGGACAAUGGGCGAAAGCCUGAUCCAGCCAUGCCGCGUGAGUGAAGAAGGCCUUCGGGUUGUAAAGCUCUUUCAGUCGAGAAGAAAAAAUUGCGACUAAUAAUCGCAAUUCAUGACGGUAUCGACAGAAGAAGCACCGGCUAACUACGUGCCAGCAGCCGCGGUAAUACGUAGGGUGCAAGCGUUAAUCGGAAUUACUGGGCGUAAAGGGUGCGCAGGCGGCCUUGUAAGUCAGAUGUGAAAUCCCCGGGCUUAACCUGGGAAC